rnacentral:rRNA from 1 species
GUAGGGAAUAUUGCACAAUGGGGGAAACCCUGAUGCAGCGACGCCGCGUGAGUGAUGAAGGCCUUCGGGUCGUAAAGCUCUGUCGUAUGGGACUAACACAAUGAAGGUACCAUGCAAGAAAGGAUCGGCUAACUUCGUGCCAGCAGCCGCGGUAAGACGAGGGAUCCUAUCGUUGUUCGGAAUCAUUGGGCGUAAAGCGGGUGUAGGCGGAUUUAUAAGUCAGGUGUGAAAUCCCAGGGCUCAACCCUGGAAGUGCACUUGAUACUGUAAAUCUUGAGUGUGGUAGAGGUUACUGGAAUUGUUGGUGUAGUGGUGAAAUACGUAGAUAUCAACAGGAAUACCGGAGGCGAAGGCGAGUAACUGGGCCAACACUGACGCUGAGACCCGAAAGCGUGGGGAUCAAACAGGAUUAGAUACCCGAGUAGUCC